GAUGAACGCUGGCGGCGUGCUUAACACAUGCAAGUCGAACGGAGUAGUUCCGCUGACGAGACUUCGGUCAAAUCUUGGGACUACUUAGUGGCGGACGGGUGAGUAACGCGUGGGUAACCUGCCGUAUGCUGGGGGACAACAGUUGGAAACGACUGCUAAUACCGCAUAAGCGCACAGUACCGCAUGGUACAGUGUGAAAAACUCCGGUGGCAUACGAUGGACCCGCGUCUGAUUAGCUGGUUGGUGAGGUAACGGCCCACCAAGGCGACGAUCAGUAGCCGGCCUGAGAGGGUGAACGGCCACAUUGGGACUGAGACACGGGCCCAAAACUCCUACGGGAGGCAGCAGUGGGGAAUAUUGGACAAUGGGGGAAACCCUGAUCCAGCGACGCCGCGUGAGUGAAGAAGUAUUUCGGUAUGUAAAGCUCUAUCAGCAGGGAAGAAAAACAUGACGGUACCUGACUAAGAAGCCCCGGCUAACUACGUG
rnacentral:rRNA from 1 species